UACGAAGGGGGCUAGCGUUGCUCGGAAUUACUGGGCGUAAAGGGCGCGUAGGCGGAUAUUUAAGUUGGGGGUGAAAUCCCGGGGCUCAACCUCGGAAUUGCCUUCAAAACUGGAUAUCUUGAGUUCGGGAGAGGUGAGUGGAACUCCGAGUGUAGAGGUGAAAUGCGUAGAUAUCGUUUGGAACGCCAAUGGUGAAAACAAGUAGCUGGGGGUGUGCUGACACUGAGACACGAAAGCCAGGGGAGCAAACGGG
rnacentral:rRNA from 1 species